rnacentral:rRNA from 1 species
CCUACGGGAGGCAGCAGUGAGGAAUAUUGGUCAAUGGCCGCAAGGCUGAACCAGCCAAGUCGCGUGAGGGAUGACGGCCCUAUGGGUUGUAAACCUCUUUUGUCGGGGAGCAAAGAGAGUCACGUGUGGCUUUUUGAGAGUACCCUACGAAAAAGCAUCGGCUAACUCCGUGCCAGCCGCCGCGGUAAUACGGAGGAUGCGAGCGUUAUCCGGAUUUAUUGGGUUUAAAGGGUGCGCAGGCGGAAGGUCAAGUCAGCGGUAAAAUUGCGGGGCUCAACCCCGUCCUGCCGUUGAAACUGGCGCCAUUGAGUGAGCGAGAAGUAUGCGGAAUGCGUGGUGUAGCGGUGAAAUGCAUAGAUAUCACGCAGAACUCCGAUUGCGAAGGCAGCAUACCGGCGCUCAACUGACGCUCAUGCACGAAAGCGUGGGUAUCGAACAGGAUUAGAUACCCCGGUAGUC